rnacentral:rRNA from 1 species
UAUGGUAUAACUUAGUGGCAGACGGGUGAGUAAUGUAUAGGAAUCUACCUAGUAGUACGGAAUAAUUGUUGGAAACGACAACUAAUACCGUAUACGCCCUACGGGGGAAAAAUUUAUUGCUAUUAGAUGAGCCUAUAUUAGAUUAGCUAGUUGGUGGGGUAAUAGCCUACCAAGGUAAUGAUCUAUAGCUGAUCUGAGAGGAUGAUCAGCCACACUGGAACUGAGAUACGGUCCAGACUCCUACGGGAGGCAGCAGUGGGGAAUAUUGGACAAUGGGCGAAAGCCUGAUCCAGCCAUGCCGCAUGAGUGAAGAAGGCCUUUGGGUUGUAAAGCUCUUUUAGUGAGGAAGAUAAUGACGGUACUCACAGAAGAAGUCCUGGCUAACUCCGUGCCAGCAGCCGCGGUAAUACGGAGAGGGCUAGCGUUAUUCGGAAUUAUUGGGCGUAAAGGGCGCGUAGGCUGGUUAAUAAGUUAAAAGUGAAAUCCCGAGGCUUAACCUUGGAAUUGCUUUUAAAACUAUUAAUCUAGAGAUUGAAAGAGGAUAGGGGAAUUCCUGAUGUAGAGGUAAAAUUCGUAAAUAUUAGGAGGAACACCAGUGGCGAAGGCGUCUAUCUGGUUCAAAUCUGACGCUGAAGCGCGAAGGCGUGGGGAGCAAACAGGAUUAGAUACCCUGGUAGUCCACGCUGUAAACGAUGAAUGUUAAAUAUGGGGAGUUUACUUUCUGUAUUACAGCUAACGCGUUAAACAUUCCGCCUGGGGACUACGGUCGCAAGAUUAAAACUCAAAGGAAUUGACGGGGACCCGCACAAGCGGUGGAGCAUGUGGUUUAAUUCGAUGCAACGCGAAAAACCUUACCACUUCUUGACAUGAAAAUCAUA